GACGAACGCUGGCGGCGCACUUAACACAUGCAAGUCGAACGGAAAGGCCUGCUUUCCCUUGUGGAUUGCGGGUACUCGAGUGGCGAACGGGUGAGUAACACGUGAGUGAUCUGCCCCCAACUUGGGUAUAAGCCUGGGAAACUGGGUCUAAUUCCCGAUAGGACUGCAGGGUGGUGCCUGUGGUGGAAAACGAUUUUCUAGUGGUUGGGGAUGAGCUCGCGGCCUAUCAGCUUGUUGGUGGGGUAAUGGCCUACCAAGGCGGCGACGGGUAGCCGGCCUGAGAGGGUGGACGGCCACAUUGGGACUGAGAUACGGCCCAGACUCCUACGGGAGGCAGCAGUGGGGAAUAUUGCACAAUGGGCGGAAGCCUGAUGCAGCGACGCCGCGUGGGGGAUGACGGCCUUCGGGUUGUAAACUCCUUUCGACCGCGAGGAAGCCACCUGGUUGGAAGGGUGGUGACGGUAGUGGUAGAAGAAGCACCGGCUAACUACGUG
rnacentral:rRNA from 1 species